GCAUGGAAGAGGAAGAAAGAGAGGUCCUAAGAGCAUUAGGAGUGGGAACAUGAAGGAAUGCAGUGCCCUAAUUUCUUCUCUAGCGUUGGAGAUGGAUAUUUGGCAUAACGCAUUCCUGAUGCCUCCCAUUCCUAUGGUUCUUAGAUUCUCCUUCCUCUUCCUUUUGCUA
rfam:Setaria italica strain Yugu1 chromosome III, whole genome shotgun sequence.